GGGCGAAGAGGUUUCCAAUCAUUUCUGCACCAGAAAUGAUUGGAAACUGGGCUUGUUUUGUGACCACAGGCAAAGAUUGCUUGGAUUUCCUCCCUUUGCCUGCCUAUGGCAUGGCAAUGGCCAUAUCCAGCCUCUCCUGAUGGCUUUGGAUUCCUGCAGGAGCAGUUCCGAGGUGCUGGGCUGGGGUGCCGUGCAGCAGGGCAGACAUCGCACGAAUGCAAAUAUUCAUUCCAAACAAUAAGAUAAGGUCCUGGGCUGGAAGACAAGCAGCCGGCAGUUCGUUGUGGCAUUAAACAAAGUCCAAAGUACUCACAUCACACAAAAUCCAACCAAAGGGCAACACCCUUCUGCUGCUCCUGAAUUGUCAGGGCUAUUUACGGGAUUUUCGGAUGCACGUGAGACAGAUGAUGCAGGAACUGCCAAUCCCCAUGAGCUGUUGAUAAAACCUUCCUCUCCAGACUAGCUCAGCAGGGGCAGAUGGCAUUUUUAGAGUCAUUCCCAAGUGGGCUGCCAUGAGAUGGACCUGUUCUCGAUUGCUCGUGACCCUUCUCAUCAGCAAGCCCAGCAUCUCCCAUUGCCCCGGAUUGGCUGCACACAGGGCUCCGCUUGUUGGGAAAUUCCAGCUAGCUGAAAUCGGAGCUGGAUCAGAGGAACCCCUGGACUGCAGAGGAGGAGGAGGAGGAGGAGAACUGUGCGGCUCAUGCAGCGGGGCAGAGCCACAUUUCAUUCCUUGCAGCAGACCCGGCAGGAUGGGACCUUCUACCUUGGGGCUACCCUGCUCUGAGCAUGACUGUGGGGUUUCCUACCUCUUCACAAAUAAUUCAGAGAGGCCUCUGGUCUUUACCAACACAGAAGAGGAAAAGCAGCAGCAGUGCCCGCAGCCAGUCCCCAAGCAGUGCUAUCCCCAAGCUAAGACAAGCAGGGCACCUCGCCAUUGCCAAAGGGCAAACUGUUUGUGCCCUUCAGGUAGAGAUGUUGAUUUCCCUGGGAUAAUGCAAGGAAGACUUGGCAAAGUCAUCUUGUUUGUGGGAACACCCCAGUGUGCCCUGACAGGCUCAGCAGGAGGAAAGCAGGGAUAUAGCCCAGAGCAGCUCUCCAAGUGUCCCUCAGCACGCUCAGCCUGAUGGGGAGCCCAUGGGUAUCAUGGCAGGAGCCUGGGCCAUCCCUGCCCACAUUUCUACAACCAUUUGUGCCACCAAAUCCCCUCCACAGUGCCUGCAGGGGGGGUGCAACGGUUUGCCCCCCUCCUCGUGCUGCUGACUGCUCGCUCUGCAUCCUCGCCGCAGGGCACGGAAACCGCAGGGCCAUGCGAGAGCGCGGCCAGGAGCAUCCGGGCUGACCUACUUACAGCACGGGCCCUGGGACUUUCUGGGAUUCAUCCUCCUGGAAACACGAGGAAGAAUUUUAGGGCAGCAGAACCCGCAUGGGGUUGGGAUGCUGUCCCAGCCUCUGCCAGGUCAGUGAUGCCGGAAUCGCUGUGACUGCUCUGAGCGCGCUCGCCGCCUCAUAUCGACGCACAGGCUCCAUUAACAAACCAAAUUGCCACUGAUAUGCUCCUCGUUAUACCCCGGGCCUUACGCGUCGUUAUUUCAUCUCGAAGACAGCAUUUGUUUUCCCUUCCCUGAAUUCACGUCCCCAAAAUCUCAUUAGGACCUUGUCACUCGUUGCGAUUUGGAGCAAAUUGCAGCUUAAUCCAAGCUGCCGGGGAAGCCGGCUGUCCUGCAGAAAUCCCCUUAAAGUCUCCAUGCAGGAAGGGUGAGGAUAAUAAAAAGACAUCAAAUUAGGAGGUGCCAGGGCUCAUUUCAGAGGAGAGGAUGGGCUUGUGGAUACCGACAGGGCCAUAAUGCAAAUCCCCCUUGGAGCACCCAAAGAAUCAGCCUAAAUGGAUUAAUGUGAGGACAGAGAAGAAAUGACUUCAGUUGUUUCCCUAAUUCAAUUCCAUUUAUUUUUAUACGGCAUCUUCAUACCAAGCGUCUCACAGCUGCUACACCCAGCAGAGGAAUAAUAAAGGAGCACCAUUCUGGCAGAGCUGCUCACCAGUACAGGCAUCUCAGCAGGAGGAAGGAACCCGAGUGCUGGCCUUGAGGAUUUGAUUUCCCAAAUCAUCAGGAAAUCACAUGCCUUUUUUUUUUUAAAUUCUUUUUCCAAUUCCAAUAUUACUAAUUUCCCUAGGCUUUCCUCAAACCAUCCCUGUAAUAUACUGAGGCUGAUUCUAAUCUCAUGCUGCUUUUAUGACACUGUAAUUCUGAUCUCACACUGGUUUUAUACUGGUGCAGUUCCACUUAUUUCAACUGAGUAAAUUCCUGAUUUAUGUCAGUGUAAACGACAGCAGAAACAGGCCCACGGUUUUCCCUGGAGCAACGCCUGGCUCCCACCAGGGUGAGGAAGAGGAAGAUCAGGCCCUUUGCAACACAAAUGGUGCAGAAAACUGCCGUUAAAUCACCCCCAGACCCUCACUUUCCAAUACACUUUUGCUCUCUGCUAGAAAAUGCACUUUAUUAUUGUCCAAGUUGGAAAUCCACAGAGGAGCGAGGAGGAGCAGAGGCCAGGGUGAGUUGCAGCCCUCCUCCUGCUCCAUCCGGAGCAACAUCUCCCUUCCUCGGGCCCACUUCUUUCUAGCAAGAGUCUGUUGCUUUGGGUUAAAUUGAAGCGUGCACAUCCUGUUUGCUUUAAAAUAUUCACAGAUAAUCCCGGGGAAUG